UUUUCUAUAAAUAUUAUACACAUCAGACUAAUAAAAUACUUACAUAGCAAUGAUGUCAGACAAAUACAUCCUCUUGUAUACAAUUGUGAUUUAUUGUUUUUCAGAACAUGUAUACACCUGUGAUUGCAUUGUACAGUAAUUACAAGAAGAGAGUUUCAACGGCAAGCCAACUACUAACCCUUUACAGAAUGAAGACAUCCCCAACAUUUUGUGCUUAAGGUUAAAACUCCGACUUGCU
rnacentral:lncRNA from 1 species